rnacentral:lncRNA from 1 species
GUUUAUUAUAAAGUGAAAAAGAAAAAACAUCCCUUGAAAGCACAAGAUGCAGACUAAGGGCACAAAACUAAAAAGCGAAGGAGAACAACUCAAAAAGGAAAGUCAGGAUCAUUAUCCAAAUCAUCCGACCAACGCCUAUGGACGACAUUAUUCAUUGCAAUCAUACUAGGCCUAUUGGUGACGUCAACCACAAACUCCGUCGGCUUGUUACCCAUUUCUUCCGCAUUCCUGAGACGACUUUUAAUACAACCUUCCGGAAUUGCAUGUAUAGGCUCUCGUCCCUUUACCGAGCCCUUUGGACGACCACGUCCGCGCUUCUGCUCCGAGAGCAACUGCAUCCCUUGAUUAACUUGCUUCUCUAACCUAAUAAUACGACUCGCCAUGUCAUCCGUAGAAGAAAUGGAUUUAUUAUCAAAAUCAACUUCCUUAAUCGGCGAAUUAACCCGCUGGCUCGCUGAAUCUUCUGCCCCAACUACCAGUUGUUGCUCUACCACAGCUCCACUAUUCGUUCCAGAAUCCAACUCCAAAGUUCCCUCUACAUUCGAGCCCUCCUUAUCACUAGCCUUGUCCGUGUGAGGCGACCCAUCAUUUUCUUCCUCAUGUAAAGGCUCUGCUUCAUAAUUGGAAUCCGCAAUGAUAGUCUCCUCCACUUCCUCUUCCUCAUCCUCAUCUAGCGCUUGAUAUCGGUUAGCAUCCCCCGCCAGAGGGAGAUCAUUUUCUUAAAAGGUACUGUAGCCGCGUCUAGAAGAUCAGGACCUGAUAGAGGUUUAAGAAUAUCAACUUUGGGCUGCCAUGCAGGAGUCGGACCCUCUCCCUUAUCAAGAUUCUUCACAACCACAGCAGGAGGCUCAGUGAUCUUUUGCUUGCUCGUGACCCUAUCAGCUCUCCGGCAUUUAUCCGUUGAAUGACCUGUAAGUUUACAACGCGAGCAAAAAAGGGGCAUAGAUUCAAAACCAAACUCAAUGUAGAACGAUCUAUCGCCGUCAUCAAUGUACAUCGAGUUGAGAAUAGGCAAAGCCAUGUCAAGUUCCAC